CCUACGGGAGGCAGCAGUGGGGAAUUUUGGACAAUGGGCGAAAGCCUGAUCCAGCAAUGCCGCGUGAGUGAAGAAGGCCUUCGGGUUGUAAAGCUCUUUUGUCAGGGAAGAAACGGUGUGGGCUAAUAUCCCGCACUAAUGACGGUACCUGAAGAAUAAGCACCGGCUAACUACGUGCCAGCAGCCGCGGUAA
rnacentral:rRNA from 1 species